GAAUUCAUGUAAAUUUCUGGAUGGGGCAUCUGUCGCCCCACUGAUCACCAGGGUUGAUGUGGCUGAUCUGGCUGGCUACACGGGUGUCCCCUUCCUCACCCUCCCUGUGCGUCCUCAGCGGGAGAGGAGGACCUUCCCCGACUGGGGAGGACCGUUCUUCAGUCAAGGGUGUAGGAGUAGCUGUGCUCCCCUGCUAGAGCCUCCAAACAAGCUCUCAAGAAUUCAUUAAAUUUCAGAGAGACAUGAAUAAUAUUUUAGGGUCAGUAUGUCUUAUGCAAUUCGGGCGACAUAUAUUGGCAUAUACUUAUGCUA
rnacentral:snRNA from 1 species